AAUCAACGCUGGCGGCGUGCCUCAGACAUGCAAGUCGAACGCGAAAGUUUCCUUCGGGAAACAAGUAGAGUGGCGCACGGGUGAGUAACACGUAGGUAAUCUACCUUCGGAUGGGGAAUAACAAUCGGAAACGAUUGCUAAUACCGCAUAAUGCAGCGGCACCUAAUGGUGACAGUUGUUAAAGCGGGGGAUCGAAAGACCUCGCGUCUGAAGAGGAGCCUGCGGCGGAUUAGCUAGUUGGUAAGGUAAUGGCUUACCAAGGCUACGAUCCGUAACCGGCCUGAGAGGGCGGUCGGUCACACUGACACUGACAUACGGGUCAGACUCCUACGGGAGGCAGCAGUCGGGAAUUUUUGGGCGAAUGGGCGAAAAGCCUGACCCACGCAACCGACCGCGUGAAGGAUAGAAUACCCUCGGGAUGUAAACUUCGCAAGAACGGGAAGAAUAAGUAGGG
rnacentral:rRNA from 1 species